rnacentral:rRNA from 1 species
UACGAAGGGGGCUAGCGUUGCUCGGAAUCACUGGGCGUAAAGGGUGCGUAGGCGGGUCUUAAGUCAGGGGUGAAAUCCUGGAGCUCAACUCCAGAACUGCCUUUGAUACUGAAGAUCUUGAGUCCGGGAGAGGUGAGUGGAACUGCGAGUGUAGAGGUGAAAUUCGUAGAUAUUCGCAAGAACACCAGUGGCGAAGGCGGCUCACUGGCCCGGUACUGACGCUGAGGUGCGAAAGCGUGGGGAGCAAACAGG